CUCUUUAUUAACCUUUGUAUUCCAAAAAUUUAUCAUGUUUACAAAGUAAUAAAAGUUUAUUUAUUAUACUCCUCAGGUCAUUGAAAGUCUCCUGCACCACUGGGCCAUUCGGCUGAAUCUGGGGAAUAAUAUCUACAUUAUGAACCACUACACGAGCGGUGUGAUCCUCUAUGGAGAGAGAGAACUAAUCAGGAGACAAAGCUUGUCCAAGGUGAACUUUGACAACUAGCGAGCCAUUUUAUCCUUUGUGAACAUUGGAAAUGUACACUGGAAGUUUCUGUACAUAAAUGUGAUAGAUAUAUAGCUGUCUGUAUUUGGUCGAUCCUUCAAGAAACUCUUUGGAGCAGGAAGAGUCUGACCGUGCAGCCAAAAGAUUCCGUGAAUACUUCAAAAUGAGAAGGACAUGCUACAACAAAACAGACUGGGUGAAUGUGAGACUUCGAGGAGUACUGACACAUCCAUUUCAACGGGAUGGUUCUAGCUGCGGAGUAAUGGUCAUCAUGAUGGCCAAAGCAGUAAUGGAAGCAUUCCCAAAUAAACCAGAAAUGACAUUUUUGAUGACAAAAAAAGAGAUGGCCCAGGCACGAAGGACAUUUGCACAAACAAUACUUGAGGCCUCAG